rnacentral:rRNA from 1 species
GAUGAACGCUGGCGGCGUGCCUAAUACAUGCAAGUCGAGCGAACGGACGAGAAGCUUGCUUUUCUGAUGUUAGCGGCGGACGGGUGAGUAACACGUGGAUAACCUACCUAUAAGACUGGGAUAACUUCGGGAAACCGGAGCUAAUACCGGAUAAUAUUUUGAACCGCAUGGUUCAAAAGUGAAAGACGGUCUUGCUGUCACUUAUAGAUGGAUCCGCGCUGCAUUAGCUAGUUGGUAAGGUAACGGCUUACCAAGGCAACGAUGCAUAGCCGACCUGAGAGGGUGAUCGGCCACACUGGAACUGAGACACGGUCCAGACCCCUACGGGAGGCAGCAGUAGGGAAUCUUCCGCAAUGGGCGAAAGCCUGACGGAGCAACGCCGCGUGAGUGAUGAAGGUCUUCGGAUCGUAAAACUCUGUUAUUAGGGAAGAACAUAUGUGGAAGUAACUGUGCACAUCUUGACGGUACCUAAUCAGAAAGCCACGGCUAACUACGUG